rnacentral:rRNA from 1 species
GUGAGGAAUAUUGGUCAAUGGGCGAGAGCCUGAACCAGCCAAGUCGCGUGAAGGAAGAAGGAUCUAUGGUUCGUAAACUUCUUUUGCAGGGGAAUAAAGUGCAGGACGUGUCCUGUUUUGUAUGUACCCUGAGAAUAAGGAUCGGCUAACUCCGUGCCAGCAGCCGCGGUAAUACGGAGGAUCCGAGCGUUAUCCGGAUUUAUUGGGUUUAAAGGGUGCGUAGGUGGUUUGAUAAGUCAGCGGUGAAAGUUUGCAGCUUAACUGUAAAAAUGCCGUUGAAACUGUCGGACUUGAGUGUAAAUGAGGUAGGCGGAAUGCGUGGUGUAGCGGUGAAAUGCAUAGAUAUCACGCAGAACUCCGAUUGCGAAGGCAGCUUACUAAGCUACAACUGACACUGAGGCUCGAAAGUGUGGGUAUCAAACAGGAUUAGAUACCCCUGUAGUCC